UACGUAGGGUCCGAGCGUUGUCCGGAUUUACUGGGUUUAAAGGGUGCGUAGGCGGCUGUUUAAGUCGGUGAUGAAAUGCGGGGGCUUAACCCUUAGCGCUGUUACCGAUACUGGGCGGCUGGAGAGAAACUAAGGCAGCUGGAAUAAGUGGUGUAGCGGUGAAAUGCGUAGAGAUCACUUAGAACACCGAUUGCGAAGGCAGGUUGCUGGGUUUGUUCUGACGCUGAGGCACGAAGGCAUGGGGAUCAAACAGG
rnacentral:rRNA from 1 species